rnacentral:rRNA from 1 species
GAUGAACGCUAGCGAUAGGCUUAACACAUGCAAGUCGAGGGGCAGCAUGGUCUUAGCUUGCUAAGACUGAUGGCGACCGGCGCACGGGUGCGUAACGCGUAUGCAACUUGCCUCACAGAGGGGGAUAACCCGUCGAAAGACGGACUAAUACCGCGUACACUUGGGAUAGGGCAUCCUGACCCAAGGAAAUGAAAUUCGCUGUGAGAUAGGCAUGCGUCCCAUUAGCUAGUUGGUGAGGUAACGGCUCACCAAGGCGACGAUGGGUAGGGGAACUGAGAGGUUGACCCCCCACACUGGUACUGAGGCACGGACCAGACUCCUACGGAAGGCAGCAGUGAGGAAUAUUGGUCAAGGGGCGAGAGCCUGAACCAGCCAAGUCGCGUGAAGGAUGACUGUCUUAUGGAUUGUAAACUUCUUGUAUACGGGAAUAACAAGAGCCACGUGUGGCUCCCUGCAUGUACCGUAUGAAUAAGCAUCGGCUAACUCCGUG